rnacentral:rRNA from 1 species
UGAGGAAUAUUGGUCAAUGGGCGAGAGCCUGAACCAGCCAAGUCGCGUGAAGGAUGACUGUCUUAUGGAUUGUAAACUUCUUUUAUACGGGAAUAACAAGAGCCACGAGUGACUCCCUGCAUGUACCGUAUGAAUAAGCAUCGGCUAACUCCGUGCCAGCAGCCGCGGUAAUACGGAGGAUGCGAGCGUUAUCCGGAUUUAUUGGGUUUAAAGGGUGCGUAGGCGGCCUGUUAAGUCAGCGGUGAAAUCUAGGAGCUUAACUCCUAAAUUGCCAUUGAUACUGGCGGGCUUGAGUGUAGAUGAGGUAGGCGGAAUGCGUGGUGUAGCGGUGGAAUGCAUAGAUAUCACGCAGAACUCCGAUUGCGAAGGCAGCUUACUAAGGUACAACUGACGCUGAAGCACGAAAGCGUGGGUAUCAAACAGGAUUAGAUACCCUGGUAGUCCACGCAGUAAACGAUGAUAACUGGGCGUAUGCGAUAUACAGUAUGCUCCUAAGCGAAAGCGUUAAGUUAUCCACCUGGGGAGUACGCCGGCNACGGU